CUCCCUAAGCCCCGCCUCCCGGACCCUUUCCCCCGAGGCCCCGCCCACAACGCCGGGCGCGCGGAGCAGGGAGGGGUCGGGGCGGCGGCGGGAGGAGAGAGGUGAAGCUCUGGCACGCGCCCCACUCGCGGCGAGAGCGCGAACAGCGCGCUCCCGUCAUCCGCGUCGCCAUCUUUUUCCCCCUCCGUCCGUCUGUCUGCCGUUGGCUUUGUCUGUCUGCCGCGCCGCCCCUCGCCUGCCCGCCGCCGGUGCGGCCCGCAGCCACCCUCUGCCGGCCUGGGGCCCGGUCCCAGGGAGCCCCGGCCCGGCCAGCCCGAGCUGCGGCCGGGGUCCAUUGUCCCGCGGUCUGUCUGUCCGGAGGCGGGGCCCAGGGACGCGGAGCGCCGAGGCUGCGGAUUCCCAUCACUUGGAUUCGGGCGAGUUUACGUUGCUUCGUGGGAACCUCACCAGAGCUGGAGGUGUGAAGUCCCCUGAGGUACCAUCUGGUCAGUUCCCCCAUUGGGCCACUAGGAGGAUCGUGAGAAAGCAGUGGAUGCUGCUGCCCUUCCGGAUGUGCAGCCUUGUAGCUGCACAUCCAUCAUCCCUUCGCCAGGCAGCUUUAGUAAUAAACUGUUGUCUUGCCAAGAUGAUCUAAAUAAAGCCUGACUCAAGUUACUUGGCACUCCUUCAAACAGACUUUAGCGUCUCCAUCUCAGAGCUCCGAUUCCUGAACUUCAGAGG
rnacentral:lncRNA from 1 species